GACAGAGGGUGCAAGCGUUGUUCGGAAUCAUUGGGCGUAAAGGGCGCGUAGGCGGUUUAGUAAGUCAGAUGUGAAAGCCCAGGGCUCAACCUUGGAAGUGCAUCUGAAACUACUGAACUAGAGUAUCGGAGAGGGUGGUGGAAUUCCCAGUGUAGAGGUGAAAUUCGUAGAUAUUGGGAGGAACACCGGUGGCGAAGGCGACCGCCUGGACGAAUACUGACGCUGAGGCGCGAGAGCGUGGGGGAGCAAACAGG
rnacentral:rRNA from 1 species